rnacentral:rRNA from 1 species
CCUACGGGUGGCAGCAGUGAGGAAUAUUGGUCAAUGGACGCGAGUCUGAACCAGCCAUGCAGCGUGCAGGAUGACUGCUCUAUGAGUUGUAAACUUCUUUUGUACGGGGAUAAACGCAGAUACGCGUAUCUGUCUGAAUGUACUGUACGAAUAAGGAUCGGCUAACUCCGUGCCAGCAGCCGCGGUAAUACGGAGGAUUCAAGCGUUAUCCGGAUUUAUUGGGUUUAAAGGGUGCGUAGGCGGGUGGAUAAGUUAGUGGUGAAAGCUUGAGGCUCAACCUUAGAAUUGCCUUUGAUACUGUCAGGCUUGAGAGCAGUUGCGGUAGGCGGAAUUCAUGGUGUAGCGGUGAAAUGCUUAGAGAUCAUACAGAACUCCGAUUGCGAAGGCAGCCUACCAAGCUACUUCUGACGUUGAGGCUCGAAAGUGUGGGGAGCAAACAGGAUUAGAUACCCGAGUAGUC